rnacentral:rRNA from 1 species
GGUUAAGCGACUAAGCGUACACGGUGGAUGCCCUGGCAGUCAGAGGCGAUGAAGGGCGUGCUAAUCUGCGAUAAGCGCCGGUAAGGUGAUAUGAACCGUUAUAACCGGCGAUACCCGAAUGGGGAAACCCAGUGUGACUCGUCACACUAUCAUUAACUGAAUCCAUAGGUUAAUGAGGCGAACCGGGGGAACUGAAACAUCUAAGUACCCCGAGGAAAAGAAAUCAACCGAGAUUCCCCCAGUAGCGGCGAGCGAACGGGGAGGAGCCCAGAGCCUGAAUCAGCAUGUGUGUUAGUGGAAGCGUCUGGAAAGGCGCGCGAUACAGGGUGACAGCCCCGUACACAAAAGCGCAUGUGCUGUGAGCUCGAUGAGUAGGGCGGGACACGUGGUAUCCUGUCUGAAUAUGGGGGGACCAUCCUCCAAGGCUAAAUACUCCUGACUGACCGAUAGUGAACCAGUACCGUGAGGGAAAGGCGAAAAGAACCCCGGCGAGGGGAGUGAAAAAGAACCUGAAACCGUGUACGUACAAGCAGUGGGAGCCCCACCACUAAGCCAGUGGUGAACUCCACAUCCGCAUCCUUUGCUGAGGAUACGGUUAACGGAGCGAAAGCGACGUUCAACCGCAAAACAAGCAGAGGGGGCUUAGUGGUGGGGUGACUGCGUACCUUUUGUAUAAUGGGUCAGCGACUUAUAUUCUGUAGCAAGGUUAACCGAAUAGGGGAGCCGGAGGGAAACCGAGUCUUAAUUGGGCGUUAAGUUGCAGGGUAUAGACCCGAAACCCGGUGAUCUAGCCAUGGGCAGGUUGAAGGUUGGGUAACACUAACUGGAGGACCGAACCGACUAAUGUUGAAAAAUUAGCGGAUGACCUGUGGCUGGGGGUGAAAGGCCAAUCAAACCGGGAGAUAGCUGGUUCUCCCCGAAAGCUAUUUAGGUAGCGCCUCGUGAAUUCAUCUCCGGGGGUAGAGCACUGUUUCGGCUAGGGGGCCAUCCCGGCUUACCAACCCGAUGCAAACUGCGAAUACCGGAGAAUGUUAUCACGGGAGACACACGGCGGGUGCUAACGUCCGUCGUGAAGAGGGAAACAACCCAGACCGCCAGCUAAGGUCCCAAAGUCAUGGUUAAGUGGGAAACGAUGUGGGAAGGCCCAGACAGCCAGGAUGUUGGCUUAGAAGCAGCCAUCAUUUAAAGAAAGCGUAAUAGCUCACUGGUCGAGUCGGCCUGCGCGGAAGAUGUAACGGGGCUAAACCAUGCACCGAAGCUGCGGCAGCGAACGUAUCACCCAAGACAACUUUACGGAGUUGACGAUUGACGGAGCGAAGCGACGUCAAAGCGUUCAUUAAAGUCGAGUUGGCUUAGGGAUACGUUCGUUGGGUAGGGGAGCGUUCUGUAAGCCUGUGAAGGUGUGUCGUGAGGCAUGCUGGAGGUAUCAGAAGUGCGAAUGCUGACAUAAGUAACGAUAAAGCGGGUGAAAAGCCCGCUCGCCGGAAGACCAAGGGUUCCUGUCCAACGUUAAUCGGGGCAGGGUGAGUCGACCCCUAAGGCGAGGCCGAAAGGCGUAGUCGAUGGGAAACGGGUUAAUAUUCCCGUACUUGGUGUUACUGCGAAGGGGGGACGGAGAAGGCUAUGUUGGCCGGGCGACGGUUGUCCCGGUUUAAGCGUGUAGGUGUGUGUUCCAGGUAAAUCCGGUUCACUUUAACACUGAGGCGUGACGACGAGGCACUACGGUGCUGAAGCAACAAAUGCCCUGCUUCCAGGAAAAGCCUCUAAGCAUCAGGUAACAUCAAAUCGUACCCCAAACCGACACAGGUGGUCAGGUAGAGAAUACCAAGGCGCUUGAGAGAACUCGGGUGAAGGAACUAGGCAAAAUGGUGCCGUAACUUCGGGAGAAGGCACGCUGACACGUAGGUGAAGUGAUUUACUCAUGGAGCUGAAGUCAGUCGAAGAUACCAGCUGGCUGCAACUGUUUAUUAAAAACACAGCACUGUGCAAACACGAAAGUGGACGUAUACGGUGUGACGCCUGCCCGGUGCCGGAAGGUUAAUUGAUGGGGUCAGCGCAAGCGAAGCUCCUGAUCGAAGCCCCGGUAAACGGCGGCCGUAACUAUAACGGUCCUAAGGUAGCGAAAUUCCUUGUCGGGUAAGUUCCGACCUGCACGAAUGGCGUAAUGAUGGCCAGGCUGUCUCCACCCGAGACUCAGUGAAAUUGAACUCGCUGUGAAGAUGCAGUGUACCCGCGGCAAGACGGAAAGACCCCGUGAACCUUUACUAUAGCUUGACACUGAACAUUGAGCCUUGAUGUGUAGGAUAGGUGGGAGGCUUUGAAGUGUGGACGCCAGUCUGCAUGGAGCCGACCUUGAAAUACCACCCUUUAAUGUUUGAUGUUCUAACGUGGACCCGUAAUCCGGGUUGCGGACAGUGUCUGGUGGGUAGUUUGACUGGGGCGGUCUCCUCCUAAAGAGUAACGGAGGAGCACGAAGGUUGGCUAAUCCUGGUCGGACAUCAGGAGGUUAGUGCAAUGGCAUAAGCCAGCUUGACUGCGAGCGUGACGGCGCGAGCAGGUGCGAAAGCAGGUCAUAGUGAUCCGGUGGUUCUGAAUGGAAGGGCCAUCGCUCAACGGAUAAAAGGUACUCCGGGGAUAACAGGCUGAUACCGCCCAAGAGUUCAUAUCGACGGCGGUGUUUGGCACCUCGAUGUCGGCUCAUCACAUCCUGGGGCUGAAGUAGGUCCCAAGGGUAUGGCUGUUCGCCAUUUAAAGUGGUACGCGAGCUGGGUUUAGAACGUCGUGAGACAGUUCGGUCCCUAUCUGCCGUGGGCGCUGGAGAACUGAGGGGGGCUGCUCCUAGUACGAGAGGACCGGAGUGGACGCAUCACUGGUGUUCGGGUUGUCAUGCCAAUGGCACUGCCCGGUAGCUAAAUGCGGAAGAGAUAAGUGCUGAAAGCAUCUAAGCACGAAACUUGCCCCGAGAUGAGUUCUCCCUGAGACUUUAGGUCUCCUGAAGGAACGUUGAAGACGACGACGUUGAUAGGCCGGGUGUGUAAGCGCAGCGAUGCGUUGAGCUAACCGGUACUAAUGAACCGUGAGGCUUAACCUU